CCUAAACCUCUUGGGGACGUGGCAGAACUUGUGCUUAAAGGACUACAUGCUAUUAUUCAGAAGCAUGAACACAUGAUAUUGCAAACUAUUCUAGUGCACACAUACGCACACACACACCCCUACACAGGAGUCAACACCUCACCCUGAACAUUUUUACAUUAUUGGCAUGUUGCAGAGCACGUUCUGCUUCUCCACAUUUUAAUUCUGAGCUACAGCUAAUCAAAGCACAGGCUCCAUCCUUGGCAGCAGCAGAGCCCAGAUGUGCAGUUCCUGGAAGGAAUCGCUCCCACAGUGUCAUCUGGCUAUCACCUCCCCUCGCCUGGUUUCUCCAGCGGAUUCCAAAGUGGCGAUGCUGUGUAUCAUGCCAGUUUCACCUACGUUCACACCAUUCUUUUGUAAACGGGAGUACCUGGUUCACUUUACACGUUUCUAAACUGAGAAGGAAGAAAUCACAGCAUCCAGACUUCCAUUAGAGGGUCACUUCUCCCCUGCUGUGUGCGGUCUUGGUGACCCUAUAAAUCAAGGUGCCCAACCCUCUUCUUCUAAGGGCUGGGCACACGACUAAAUUCCAGCUGCUUUAGCUCCAUUCUCUCUCCCUCUCCUUCCCUCCUUCUCCUUCUUUUUCUCUCUCUUUCCUUCUUCUAAGACUUUGAGUCUUGAGAAAACGACGAAAGAACAAGGAAAACAGUUGGAAUGCAUGUUCACUGGCUGUGCCCUCCAAGACUGGGGAGAAGUUCCUGGUGCUUAAACCCUCAGGAGAAAACAUUCAGAUGAAUCGGAGUGAUUAUUUCUAAAUCUGUCCGACCUUCUUACCUAGAGAGUAGACAAGUGGAUUCUCAGGGACCAUUUGAGAAAUGGUAUCUCUCGUCGACCACACUACUGGAAAUCAGUAUCACAACCACAGGUGAAGAAAGUUUGUCUUCAAAGUUAAACAGCUUUUCUAAGACACACAACCAAUAAGUGGUUUAGCCACUAGUGGAACCUUAGACCAGGCCUGAAUCACAGCUGUAUGACCUCAACCAAUUGAUGAAAAACAGAGGAGAGAAAAGAGGAAAAGAUGUGGAGGAGAUUCGCCUUAGAAGCUGGCAAUACCAUGAUUUAGAUGAACACACCCAUGAUUUCUCUACAUCCAUGAUUUAUUUAAUUGUCAAAAUUUUAAUAGAAAGAAGAUUGGGAAUAAAUAAUCAAGAGAGAAGAACUACAUGAAAUCCAAGAGAAGAGAAAACUUCAGGAAGAAGACCUUAUCUGAGACUGUUCACUGAUUCUGAACUAGGUCAAGUCAGGCAAUCUAGUACGGAAGUUCUUGGGUAAAAACGGCCACAGAGCAAUUCAAAACAUGUAGUUUUGAUGGGUGUGUCAGGAUUGGGGGUUUUCUAAGAUCACAUAUCACUCUGUAGAGAUGUUGGACCUGGAAGAAAAACACUACAUGCAAGAUAUGGAAAGAAGCAGGAAGAUAUUUGGAAAAAC
rnacentral:lncRNA from 1 species